AGGUGUUUAAUCUAAACAAGAAUACUAAUUUCGACUUAGUACAUCGUGAUGAAAAUACACGAACACCUU
rnacentral:tRNA from 1 species